AAAACAUUGUUAAACUUUAAGUGCCAUUUACGAAAAUCCAAAUUCUAUAUCACUAAGCCUGGAUCUAAAUAAUAAAUAAUAUCCUCGAAGAAUCUUAGGGCACUUGCAUCGGGCGCUGCUUUGGAUCCGGUUGGAUGCACCACACUCCAAUGCGAAGCAGCUUCUCGGCCUUAGAGGUAGCCUCCAUUUCUUGCCAGACCGAAGCUUCUCAAACCGCCAGGAACUUUGGGCUCCUCCCGCAAGACACACAGGUAUGGAAAGCGCCACUUCCAGCACAAGGAUCCCAAAGCUGUAGAUGUCCAGUUUGUCUCUCACUCUCAUCUGCAACCAUUCCGGAGCCAUGUAUCCGGGUGUUCCUCAGAUCAUUGUCAUGACAUCGCUUAGAUCUCCUUGCUCUACCAUCCUCGACAGUCCAAACUCUGCUAUCUUGACACCAAAGUUUUCGUCCAGGAGUAGGUUUUGCGGCUUGAUGUCCAAGUGCAGGACUCUAGUGCUGCAUUCCUCGUGGAGGUAGCACAUCCCUCGAGCAAUCUCCUCGACUAUCUUGAAUCUCGUGUCCCAGUUGAGCUCUUCCCGCGGCUUGUAGAUCCACUUGUCUAGCGAUCCGUUUGCUACGUACUCGUAAAUCAGGAAGUAGUGUGAUUCCUGGGAAAAAAAGCCUUUGAGUCUUACAAGGUUCUUGUGAUGGAUGAUUCCGAUCGCUCUCACCUCCGCCUUGAACUGUUUGUAUCCUUGGCUCGAGAAGCUCUCCAGCCGUUUCACGGCAACGGAGAGUAUCCCUUCGAAAACCGUGCCAACGCCUCCACUUGCGAUUUUCUCACUGAAGGCUUUGGUUGCAGUGAGGAGCUCCGGGUAAUUAAAGACGCGCAUCAACGAUGGUUUGUAGUGUUUGAGGUACGAGUUUAUCUGUUUCUUCCAGAUCACCAUUGCGAUGAUGAUUAUAGCCAUGGUCGCCACAGAGAAAACCGCGACGAUGGCUGGCUUUGCCUGUUUUUGGUAUUUGGCGACUUUGUGAGUUGCCUGGUGUUGAGAGCUUCGGAAGAUCUCCAGCUUGGUACAACUUGAUCGAAAACAGCAAAGCUUGAUCGACGACGUUGCGAGUUUUGUUCAGAGAAAAAACUUCGGUCAUCUGGAAACAGGUAGUCGUUUCUCCUGGCUUAGCAUCCCUUUGCACGAACAGUUUUUGACACACAGGGCCAUGCACGCUGCUGGAGUGACGUUGUGGAGCGCACUGGAUAAAUCUAGAGGUUUGUAGAAGUAUCGUCCUUUGGCUUCGAGCAUGUAGUAAUGUUGCGAGUUCUCGCAGGUUCUUACAGGUGCUUGCAUCCCUCCUUGUCCCCGGAAGAAACGUACUUCGUGAACGAUGCAGAGGCAUCCUUCAGCUGUCUCGAACGAGAUCCCACAGGUUCGAGUAAGCGAGCUUUUCCCGAAGAAGAGCGGGUUUAAGUUGAUGCUCUUCGUGCUGUUGCCGGUGCUGAAUGAUCUCGAGGUAAACCGGGGCUCUCCAUUCGAGUAGAUCUUGAGGAACUGGUACCCUGCUUGAUCAGUAACACCACCGAUCGUUGGAGUGGACCACAUAACACCUUUCGUCCCGUGGAUUUCCAAGCUGCUAUUGACGAGGAAGAGAAAUGAUAUCUCUUCUUCUUCCUCAUCGAAAAGAUCUCCAGACCUCUCCAAAAGAUCCUCAACAUACUGGAGUUCAAAGCGACCGAGAAGCGGCUACCUCCAGUGAGAAGUACUCUGGCUCUUUGUUCUCCUUAGAGAUGCUGGCUACUAACUUCAUCCCAGGGAGCACAGCAUCACAGACCACCUGCGAGAACCAAAUGAGCAUGAAAGACAACAGCCACGAGAA
rnacentral:lncRNA from 1 species